rnacentral:rRNA from 1 species
AAGGAGGGGGCAAGCGGUGGGCGGAAAGAAAGGGCGUAAAGGGCGCGUAGGCGGUAAUAUAAGUCAAAUGUGAAAUCCUCCAGCUUAACUGGAGAACAGCAUCUGAAACUGUGUAACUAGAGUACAGGAGAGGGAAACGGAAUUCCCGGUGUAGAGGUGAAAUUCGUAGAUAUCGGGAGGAACACCAGUGGCGAAGGCGGUUUCCUGGCCUGAUACUGACGCUGAGGCGCGAAAGCGUGGGGAGCAAACAG